UGGAGGAGGAGGAGCCAGGCCCGGGAGGAGGGCUAGCGAGGUUCCCGGGAACGCAGGGACCCCCCCCCCCACACCCCCGCCCCAGUCCAAGGCGUCCUCCCUUCGUGAUGAUCAAAUUCAAUCCACAGCUCUAAAAAAGUUUACAUUCUGCAACCCCGCACCACCACCACCCCAAGCAAAAAGGUCAAGAUGAAGAUCCUUAUCAUGGCCUUUGUCCUCGAUGCCUUGACUCCUGCCUGGCCUUGCACCGUUGUUUUCUUUGCUCCAUAAACACCAGCCUUUCAGUUCCUGGAAUGUACUUAGCUUCCUACUGUCAUUUCUUCUUCUGCCAUAAGGUAUUGUAGCACAAGUUCUCUCUGCUGGAAAGCUCCUGGCCCGUCUACACACCUGUUCAUCCUUCAUAUAAAAAAUUAGGAAGCACUUACUCAAGAAGUCUCCCUGACAUAUCCUCUACCUACCAGUCUCCAUUAGAUUCUUUUAUUAUAUGUACUUUCUGUUGGGGAUUUGUCUGUCUUUCAUGUCUCUGUUUAUCAUUGUGUGUGAUUAUUAACAUCUGUUAACCAACUAUGCUAUAUGUUACAGGAGUUCAGAGACCAUGCUUAUUUUUACUUAACAUUGUAUCCCCUGCAAUUAGUGCACUGCCUGACUUAGAGUAAGCACUCAAUAAAUAGCUGUUGUGAAAAAAAAAUGAAGGAAUAAAUGAAUGUAUAGCACACAUAGGUUUAAAUGUGUAAUGUUACUUUUAAAACAUUUCAGGGGUGCCUGGGUGGCUCAGCCGGUUA